AUUGAACGCUGGCGGCAGGCCUAACACAUGCAAGUCGAACGAGUGGCGGACGGGUGAGUAAUGUCUGGGAAACUGCCCGAUGGAGGGGGAUAAAUACUGGAAACGGUAGCUAAUACCGCAUACCAUCGGAUGUGCCCAGAUGGGUGUAGCUAGCAGGUGGGGUAACGGCUCUUCUAGGCGACGACCCCUAGCUGGUCUGAGAGGAUGACCAGCCACACUGGAACUGAGACACGGUCCAGCCUCCUACGGGAGGCAGGUGUGGGGAAAAUUGCACAAUGGGAGCAAGGCUGAUGCAGCCAUGCCGCGUGUAUGAAGAAGGCCUUCGGGUUGUAAAGUACUUUCAGCGAGGAGGCGUUACUCGCAGAAGAAGCACCGGCUAACUCAGUGCCAGCAGCCGGGGUAAUAC
rnacentral:rRNA from 1 species